AUCUGCGAUAAGCGUCGGUAAGGUGAUAUGAACCGUUAUAACCGGCGAUUUCCGAAUGGGGAAACCCAGUGUGAUUCGUUACACUAUCAUUAACUGAAUCCAUAGGUUAAUGAGGCGAACCGGGGGAACUGAAACAUCUAAGUACCCCGAGGAAAAGAAAUCAACCGAGAUUCCCCCAGUAGCGGCGAGCGAACGGGGAGCAGCCCAGAGCCUGAAUCAGUGUGUGUGUUAGUGGAAGCGUCUGGAAAGGCGUGCGAUACAGGGUGACAGCCCCGUACACAAAAAUGCACAUAUUGUGAGCUCGAUGAGUAGGGCGGGACACGUGGUAUCCUGUCUGAAUAUGGGGGGACCAUCCUCCAAGGCUAAAUACUCCUGACUGACCGAUAGUGAACCAGUACCGUGAGGGAAAGGCGAAAAGAACCCCGGCGAGGGGAGUGAAAAAGAACCUGAAACCGUGUACGUACAAGCAGUGGGAGCACGCUUAGGCGUGUGACUGCGUACCUUUUGUAUAAUGGGUCAGCGACUUAUAUUCUGUAGCAAGGUUAACCGAAUAGGGGAGCCGAAGGGAAACCGAGUCUUAACUGGGCGUUAAGUUGCAGGGUAUAGACCCGAAACCCGGUGAUCUAGCCAUGGGCAGGUUGAAGGUUGGGUAACACUAACUGGAGGACCGAACCGACUAAUGUUGAAAAAUUAGCGGAUGACUUGUGGCUGGGGGUGAAAGGCCAAUCAAACCGGGAGAUAGCUGGUUCUCCCCGAAAGCUAUUUAGGUAGCGCCUCGUGAAUUCAUCUCCGGGGGUAGAGCACUGUUUCGGCAAGGGGGUCAUCCCGACUUACCAACCCGAUGCAAACUG
rnacentral:rRNA from 1 species